GGGCCAGGGAUUUAGCUCACUGGCAUAAGUGGCAUAAGUGAGCUAAAUGCCUGGCAAGC
rnacentral:pre_miRNA from 1 species